rnacentral:rRNA from 1 species
AUUGAACGCUGGCGGUAUGCUUAAGACAUGCAAGUCGAACGGUAACAGACCUUCGGGUGCUGACGAGUGGCGGACGGGUGAGUAACACGUGGGAAUCUACCUUGUAGUGGGGGAUAAGCCAGGGAAACUUGGACUAAUACCGCAUACGCCCUAAGGGGGAAAGGCGCAAGUCGCUAUAAGAUGAGCCCGCGUCUGAUUAACUAGUUGGUGAGGUAAAGGCUCACCAAGGCGACGAUCAGUAGCUGGUCUGAGAGGAUGGCCAGCCACAUUGGGACUGAGACACGGCCCAGACUCCUACGGGAGGCAGCAGUCGGGAAUAUUGGACAAUGGGGGCGAACCCUGAUCCAGCAAUACCGCGUGUGUGAAGAAGGCCUGCGGGUUGUAAAGCACUUUUAGUAGGGAAGAUAAUGACGUUACCUACAGAAAAAGCACCGGCUAACUCCGUGCCAGCAGCCGCGGUAAGGUGCGCGAGU